UCCUGGCUCAGAUUGAACGCUGGCGGUAUGCUUUACACAUGCAAGUCGAACGGGCUAUGGGGCUUGCUCCAUAGUUAGUGGCGAACGGGUGAGUAACAUAUCGGAACAUGUCCGGAAGUGGGGGAUAACGUAGCGAAAGUUACGCUAAUACCGCAUAUGCCCUGAGGGGGAAAGGGGGGGAUCGCAAGACCUCUCGCUUUCGGAGUGGCCGAUAUCGGAUUAGCUAGAUGGUGAGGUAAAGGCUCACCAUGGCGACGAUCCGUAGCUGGUCUGAGAGGACGACCAGCCACACUGGAACUGAGACACGGUCCAGACUCCUACGGGAGGCAGCAGUGGGGAAUUUUGGACAAUGGGCGCAAGCCUGAUCCAGCCAUACCGCGUGAGUGAAGAAGGCCUUCGGGUUGUAAAGCUCUUUCAGCCGGAAAGAAAUCGUGCAACUUAAUACGUUGUAUGGAUGACGGUACCGGAAGAAGAAGCACCGGCUAACUACGUGCCAGCAGCCGCGGUAAUACGUAGGGUGCGAGCGUUAAUCGGAAUUACUGGGCGUAAAGCGUGCGCAGGCGGUUUUGUAAGACAGACGUGAAAUCCCCGGGCUUAACCUGGGAACUGCGUUUGUGACUGCAAGGCUAGAGUGUAGCAGAGGGGGGUAGAAUUCCACGUGUAGCAGUGAAAUGCGUAGAUAUGUGGAGGAAUACCGAUGGCGAAGGCAGCCCCCUGGGCUAACACUGACGCUCUCACGAAAGCGUGGGGAGCAAACAGGAUUAGAUACCCUGGUAGUCCACGCCCUAAACGAUGUCAACUAGGUGUUGGGGAAGGAGACUUCUUUAGUACCGCAGCUAACGCGAUAAGUUGACCGCCUGGGGAGUACGGUCGCAAGAUUAAAACUCAAAGGAAUUGACAGGGACCCGCACAAGCGGUGGAUUAUGUGAUUAAUUCGAUGCAACGCGAAAAACCUUACCUACCCUUGACAUGCCAGGAAGAUUCCAGAGAUGGGAUUGUGCCCGCAAGGGAACCUGGACACAGGUGCUGCAUGGCUGUCGUCAGCUCGUGUCGUGAGAUGUUGGGUUAAGUCCCGCAACGAGCGCAACCCUUGUCAUUAAUUGCCAUCAUUCAGUUGGGCACUUUAAUGAGACUGCCGGUGAUAAACCGGAGGAAGGUGGGGAUGACGUCAAGUCCUCAUGGCCCUUAUGGGUAGGGCUUCACACGUAAUACAAUGGUCGGUACAGAGGGUAGCCAACCCGCGAGGGGGAGCCAAUCUCAGAAAGCCGAUCGUAGUCCGGAUCGGAGUCUGCAACUCGACUCCGUGAAGUCGGAAUCGCUAGU
rnacentral:rRNA from 1 species